AAGUCGAACGAUGAAGCCCUUCGGGGUGGAUUAGUGGCGAACGGGUGAGUAACACGUGGGCAAUCUGCCCUGCACUCUGGGACAAGCCCUGGAAACGGGGUCUAAUACCGGAUACUGAUCGCCUUGGGCAUCCUUGGUGAUCGAAAGCUCCGGCGGUGCAGGAUGAGCCCGCGGCCUAUCAGCUUGUUGGUGAGGUAAUGGCUCACCAAGGCGACGACGGGUAGCCGGCCUGAGAGGGCGACCGGCCACACUGGGACUGAGACACGGCCCAGACUCCUACGGGAGGCAGCAGUGGGGAAUAUUGCACAAUGGGCGAAAGCCUGAUGCAGCGACGCCGCGUGAGGGAUGACGGGCUUCGGGUUGUAAACCUCUUUCAGCAGGGAAGAAGCGAAAGUGACGGUACCUGCAGAAGAAGCGCCGGCUAACUACGUGGCAGCAGCCGCGGUAAUACGUAGGGCGCGAGCGUUGUCCGGAAUUAUUGGGCGUAAAGAGUUCGUAGGCGGCUUGUCGCGUCGGUUGUGAAAGCCCGGGGCUUAACCCCGGGUCUGCAGUCGAUACGGGCAGGCUAGAGUUCCGAAGGGGAGAUCGGAAUUCCUGGUGUAGCGGUGAAAUGCGCAGAUAUCAGGAGGAACACCGGUGGCGAAGGCGGAUCUCUGGGCCGAUACUGACGCUGAGGAGCGAAAGCGUGGGGGAGCGAACAGGAUUAGAUACCCUGGUAGUCCACGCCGUAAACGGUGGGCACUAGGUGUGGGCGACAUUCCACGUCGUCCGUGCCGCAGCUAACGCAUUAAGUGCCCCGCCUGGGGAGUACGGCCGCAAGGCUAAAACUCAAAGGAAAUGACGGGGGCCCGCACAAGCGGCGGAGCAUGUGGCUUAAUUCGACGCAACGCGAAGAACCUUACCAAGGCUUGACAUACACCGGAAACGUCCAGAGAUGGGCGCCCCCUUGUGGUCGGUGUCCAGGUGGUGCAUGGCUGUCGUCAGCUCGUGUCGUGAGAUGUUGGGUUAAGUCCCGCAACGAGCGCAACCCUUGUCCCGUGUUGCCAGCAGGCCCUUGUGGUGCUGGGGACUCACGGGAGGCCGCCGGGGUCAACUCGGAGGAAGGUGGGGACGACGUCAAGUCAUCAUGCCCCUUAUGUCUUGGGCUGCACACGUGCUACAAUGGCCGGUACAAUGAGCUGCGAUACCGCGAGUGUGGAGCGAAUCUCAAAAAGCCGGUCUCAGUUCGGAUUGGGGUCUGCAACUCGA
rnacentral:rRNA from 1 species